AUUCCAGCUCCAAUAGCGUAUAUUAAAGUUGUUGCGGUUAAAAAGCUCGUAGUUGGAUUUCUGCUGAGGACGACUGGUCCGCCCCCUGGGUGAGCAUCUGGUUCGGCCUGGGCAUCUUCUUGGGGAACGUAUCUGCACUUGAUUGUGUGGUGCGGUAUCCAGGACUUUUACUUUGAGGAAAUUAGAGUGUUUCAAGCAGGCCCGCGCCUUGAAUACAUUAGCAUGGAAUAAUAAGAUAGGACUUUGGUGGUUCUUUUUGAUAUUUUGUUGGUUUGCACGCCAAAGUAAUGAUUAAUAGGAGCAGUUGGGGGUAUUCGUAUUCAAUUGUCAGAGGUGAAAUUCUUGGAUUUAUAGAAGACGAACUACUGCGAAAGCAUUUACCAAGGAUGUUUUCAUUG
rnacentral:rRNA from 1 species